GCUUUUUAGGGCCACACUCACAGCAUAUGGAGGUUCCCAGGCUAGGGAUCAAAUUAGAGCUCAACAGGGAUCCUUAACCCACUGAGCAAUGCCAGGGAUCAAACCCGUGUCCUCUUGGAUGCUAGUCAGAUUCGUUUCCGCUGCGCCACGAUGGAACUCCCAACAGAUCUUCUCUAAUCAACCAAAAUGCACCUUGGAAAUAGACAUAAAAGAUUUUUUGUUAAAAAAAAGAAGCUCUGGCUGAAGGAGAUGGGAGAAUAAAGAGACAAGAUUCUGUCCUAAACUUUGGGACCAAAUUGCUGAUUGACUUGCAGUCCAUCGCCUUAGUGUCUUGAGGUCGUGGUUUCCUCAUCUGUAAACUGAAAGUUGACCACACUCCCCUGGGUCCCUGUGCAUGUCGUAGGAGACAGUUGCCAUAAGGCCGCAGAGGAGCUCUGCAAACCGGGACAUUGUGUAGCGUGUCAGGUGCUGCACAGGUAGAGGACCCCACACACCUGAUCCAGCCCUUGUUCUGGGAGCCCAAAGGGGAGAACAAGGUCCCCAGACGCCACACCCAUUCUGGCUGCUUUCCUAAGACUCUCUCUCUGCCAGUGUCCAUCCCUUUUAUAGGCUGGGGCUUUAAGAUGUAAACAAGACCUUAGAUUUAAAGUGGGAUCGGGCAGCAUAACACAGAAAAUAUUAUUUCUCACGUGAAAAUUAUGAAUUAUAGGAGUUCCCAUUGUGGCGCAGCAGAAACGAAUCCAACUAGUAACCAUGAGGUUGCAGGUUCGAUCUCUGGCCUCGCUCAGUGGGUUAAGGAUCCUGCGUUGCCGUGAGCUGCGGUGUAGAUUGCAAACGUGGCUUGGAUCCCGUGUUGCUGUGGCUGUGGUGUAGGCUGGCAGCAACAGCUCCAAUUAGACCCCUAGCCCAGGAAACUCCAUAUGCCUCGGGUGUGGCUCUAAAAAAAGACAAGAGACAAAAAAAAGAAAAGAAAAUUAUGAGUUAUAAAAAAGGGGAAUGUGGGGAGUUCCUCUGUGGUACGGAGGGUUAAGGAUCCAGUGUUGUCACUGCAGUAGCUUGGGUCACUGAUGUGUCAUGGGUUUGAUCCCCGGCCCGGGUAUUUCCAUAUGCUGAAGGUGCAGCCAAAAAAAGGGGGCAGGGUGUGUGAAUUUUGAGGAAGUUCAAAGUUCCUUGAAAUGGGGGCCAGAAAGUUGUAUCUCAGUCUGGAAUUGCCAUACAAUCUAGGGAAACAUGUCCGUUCCCCUCUCGGAACCUCAGAACACACAUCUGUAAAAGGCCAGGAGGGCUACGAUGACUCUACUUUUCCACUGACGGGAUUCACACCGCCUUGUUUUCUGGCUAAGAUCACUCAGGAAAAAAAAAAGUCCAUUUUGUUCAUCUAUGUUCAGCGUGUUCCUGGCAAGUGCAGCUCUGGCAUCCCUCAGUCCAGGGCUCUUUUUGCAAAGAGUAACAUUAAUAGCAAAGUUUGCUUUUUAAACCUUUGUGUCAUCUUUUUAAAAAAUCAUAUUACAUGGAAUAAAAAGCAACACAUGCUGGUUAAAACAAAUGCAAACAAUGCCGAAGAACAGUGUUUCCUUCUCUUUCCAAUCCUACCCCUGAUGGUAAUUAUAUCCUUCCAGACUUUUCUCUAUAUUUAUACAAACACAUAUACAUAUGUGUAAUUUAGGAGAUUGUUCUUUUUUUCCUUAGGAAGAAAGGAUAUUUGUUUAUUUGCUCCCCCUUUAUUCUUAAAAGACCAUGUUGUAAAGUACUUUUUUCCCUCUAUUUAUAGUAGGCCGUUUCCAAGUCAGUACACUUUUGUCAUAACUGUUACUCCAUUUGUGGCUGGACUGGAAUUUGUUUAUAUAUUUCUCUGUUGAUGGAUACUUAGAUCUUUAUAAUAUUUUGCAGUGGAAACAAAUCUGAUUAGGAACCACGGGGUUGAGAGUUUGCUUCCUGGCCUCGCUCAGGGAGUUAAGGAUGCCCACGUUGCCAUGCGCUGUGGUGUGGGUCACAGACGCAGCUCAGAUCUGGCGUUGCUGUGGCUGUGGCGUAGGCUGGCAGCUGUAGCUCCAUUUAGACCCCUAGCCUGGGAACCUCCAUAUGCCAUGGGAGGCACAUUGAUAAUUCUCCAAUUUCCUCUACUUUCUACUUACUGAUACAUGAUAAAAUCAUUUUCAUGAUAAUGAGGUUAAAUUGACUUCGUUUGUUUUCAUGCCUGCCUAGUGUCUGAUGUGGUGUCUCUGCUAGGAUGUCUGAUUGGUGCUUAGCCAGCUCCUAACUCUCACUCUUACUCUGUGUGUGUGUGUGUGUGUGUGUGUGUGUGCGCGCGCGCGCGCAGCAGCAGCAGCAGUCUUUUCAAGUGUCAUGUCCUGAGGAGAGUGGGGACUACCAGAGCACAAUGGCCCUUUUUACUCCUUGGAACAAGUGGUUUCCUUUAAGGAAGGAACUUUUCCGGAAAACAUGUUAUUUCAGGGCCUCCUGAUUCCAGAAUCCAGCCUGUCCCAGAGAGAAACAGCAGGCUGGUGGCAGGGCCACCAUGGGAGGAGGAAAAGCAGGGCAGGUGGGGGUGGGAGGGCUCCUCACAGCUGGGUUUCCAGGAUCCUCCCUCUGUCACAUUGUCACACAUCCUCUGGACAAGGGCAGGGGGUGGGGGUGGGGGGGUGGGGAUUCUCACUAGGCUGAGACCCAGCCAGUAGUGGAGGAGGCACGGUUAGGACAGAGCUGGGCAGAAGACAGCAGGGUUCUCCCUGCCUUCAUCCUGGGAUGGAGCAGAUGGAGCUGGGAGGGCAUGGAGGGGCACAGUCUGAACCUGCACAGGUGCAGAGCCCUAGGGAGGCCCCAGUUGCGGCUCAGGGCUGAGGUCUGUUAACUCAGAAGUCCAGGCCUUGGCAGGUGUUACCUGGGUUGAGGGUUCGUGGGCUGUGCAUUUGAACUGUGUAUGGCAAAGACCCCCUAACUUCUUCAAAGACCAUUCUAGGUGGGGCACAUGUGAGCAGGGCUUUUGUCCAGGGAAACCCAGGGCAAAUCACACCCCUGGUGCUUCCACCUUCCCUUCAUCCUGAAGAUAGGAAAUGAGUUGGCUGAGAGUUUGCUUGAUGCAGACCCCACUUGCAGAGAAAAAAAGGCAGGUUAGCUUCGCGCCUGCAGGUUCCAGCAGCACUGGAGAGCCCCACAGCAGGGGCUCAGUCCCUCAGCUGUAAAUGGAGAUGAUGGAGUCGCUGUG
rnacentral:lncRNA from 1 species